CUUUAAUGGGAGAUAACUCAGAUAUAUUUUUUCUGUUUGAACCUACCACAAUAUAUAUAAAACUAUUUAUGGAUUCCAUAAAGAUAUGCCUGUAUCUUUGAGAUGAGUGCUGGGUUAAAUUAUAUAUAAGCUGCUGCAUAGAAUAGACAUUGAUCUUAUGCAAAUGAAUAUCAAUACAUCUGUUAUCCUUAACUUAACCCAUAGGUGUAUUUGGGUAACUGUAGGCGGCCUUAUAUCCAACAAAGCUCAUAUGCUAAAAGUGAAAUUUUUCUGCUUGCUUAUAUUAGGUUUUUAGUGUGUACUAUGUCUCAUUUGGGUGUUUCUUAUAUUUAUUUAUUUAUUCAGUGCUUAUAAUUAUUUUUUUUGUUAUGUGCCUAUUUAUAAACUUUUACUGAACAGUUGAUUUUUUUAAGACAUUUUGUCAGCAUGAAAUAAAUUUAAUCAUGUUAAAAAGUGUUACAGUUAGGACUUUUCUAUUCAAAUCUAUGUAGGUGGGGAGAAGGGUUGUUCAAUCAAAAGCUUUGUAGUGGGGAGCAAGGGCUAUUCAACUAAAAGCAAUGUAGUGGAGAGGAAGGACUUUUCAAUUAAAAGUGAUGUUAUGAGAAGCUAUAACUGUGGAUUCAUUUAUUUUCGUGGGUAUCAAUUUUCGUGGAUUGAGGAAAACCAGCAUUUUCGUGGGUAUUUGAUUUCGUGGUUUUGUCAAUCUCUGCAUAUAAAGCCUACAGAAAAAGUGUAUUUCGUUGAACAUUUGAAUUCGUGGUUCCCCUGUACCCAUGAAAACCACGAAAACUGGUAUCCAACGAAAAAUAAUGAAUCCACAGUACAUUAAAACAAUGCAAUGGUGAGGAAGGGCUAUUCCAUUUUAAGAAAUGUAGUACAGAUGAAUGACUAUUCCAUUAAAAGCAAUGUAGUGACCAGGAAGUGCUAUUUCAUUAAUAGCAAUGUAGUGGGGAGUAAGGACUAUUCCAUUAAAAGCAAUUAAGUAAACAGGAAGUGCUAUUUCAUUGAUAACAAUGUAGUGGGGAGCAAUGACUAUUCCAUUAAAAUUGAUGUAGGUGUGAAGUAAGAGAAGUUUUCUACUUUUACCUGUAUUACUGACCAUUUUAUAAAUGUUUAUCACUUAAUGUGAGCAAAAAUACUCUAAGAAAGUAUGUUGGAUGUUGAAAAACUUGAAAAAUCUCUUCAUGUCUUUGCACAUCCAUUUAAAUGACAUCUAUAAGACAUGUCUUAAUACCUCAUAUGCUUAAAUAUCCCUAUGGAAAUUUUGAAAGUUGGAAAAAGUUAUGAAUUAUGUCAUGGGACCAAGAUCUCAUUUUCAGUUGUUUAGUUUAGUUUACAGAUGAAGGUAUAUUCAUUAUUUAUCAUGCAUGAGAGUUCAUCAAUAUUUCAGAGGUUAGUUUGUUGGAAGAAGUCAGACUUAUGUUAUACUGUAUGUCUGACCUCAAUUCAAUUUCAUGCUUGAAUGGUACUUGUAUGUUGCUUUUUGCAUGGUAUAAUUUAUUUCUGCCCCUAUCGAACACAUCCUCAUUUUCAGUUGCAUUGGAAAUUCCUGCUUUUCAUUAAUGUUGAUAUACUCUGCAAAAACUAUAUAUUAUAAAUACAUUCUCAUCCUAACUAUAUAUAAAUAAACCUGACAUAUUUGUCACUGUGUUGAGCAAGCAGCAAUCAAUCAAACACCUCAAUUGUCAAAGUUCUCAAAGUUUUUAUUUGUCUAAAAAUAAGGAGAUGUAGUAUUAUUAUCAAUAAGACAAUUGUUAACCGGGGGUCUCAUUGGGGGGUUCCGAUCCAGGAUCCCGCUUACUGUUUUGUCAGAUUCCCCUAUCCCGCUUACACUAUGUACGUAAGCAAUUCUCAUUUUUUGUCAUUUCCCGGGUCCCGCAAGACCUCAUUUCCCGUUGUCACGCCACAAUAAUUUGACUUUCACGUGUCACGCUUACAAAAAAUCGGCAAUCCCUCGUCACGCUUAGACCCCAAUGAGACCCACUUAACCAGAGUUCAAAUGAGGUAAAUGUAAGCAAGUAUAGCAAUAGGCAACCAUACAGCCUUCAACAAUGAGAAAACCCUUAUGACAAACCAACUACAACCACUAAAGUACAGUCUCCUUGGUCUGUUGCUAUUAAACUGUGUGUGAUAGGCAUACAUCAUAUGGUGUAAGAAUUCCUACAAGAUUACAUGAAAUUUUUUAUCUUUACCCCCAGUUUUUAGAAAUUUUUGACCUUUUGUUAAGUAUUCAAGUAUUACAACCUAGUGUUCCC
rnacentral:lncRNA from 1 species